UACGGAGGGUGCGAGCGUUGUCCGGAAUCACUGGGCGUAAAGGGCGCGUAGGCGGCUUCUCAAGCGUGUGGUGAAAGUCCGGGGCUCAACCCCGGAUCGGCCGUGCGGACUGGGGAGCUCGAGUUCUGUAGAGGCGGGUGGAAUUCCGGGUGUAGCGGUGGAAUGCGUAGAGAUCCGGAAGAACACCGGUGGCGAAGGCGGCCCGCUGGGCAGAGACUGACGCUGAGGCGCGGACAGCGUGGGGAGCAAACAGG
rnacentral:rRNA from 1 species